rnacentral:rRNA from 1 species
CAGUCGCCACGGUAAGACAGAGGAUGCAAGCGUAAUCUGGAAUGAUUGGGCGUAAAGCGUCUGUAGGCGGAUAUUUAAGUCAGGGGUGAAAUCCCAGAGCUCAACUCUGGAACUGCCUUUGAUACUGGGUAUCUUGAGUAUGGAAGAGGUGAGUGGAAUUCCGAGUGUAGAGGUGAGAUUCGUAGAUAUUCGGAUGAACACCUGUGGCGAAGGCGGCUCACUGGUCCAUUACUGACGCUGAGGUGCGAAAGCGUGGGGAGCAAACAGGAUUAGAUACCCCAGUAGUCCCUGUCUCUUAUAA